AGAGUUUGAUCCUGGCUCAGGAUGAACGCUAGCUACAGGCUUAACACAUGCAAGUCGAGGGGCAGCAUGAAAGUUUGCUUGCAAACUUUUGAUGGCGACCGGCGCACGGGUGAGUAACACGUAUCCAACCUGCCUCAUACUCGGGGAUAGCCUUUCGAAAGAAAGAUUAAUACCCGAUGUCAUAGUCCUACCGCAUGAUGGGAUUAUUAAAGAAUUUCGGUAUGGGAUGGGGAUGCGUUCCAUUAGUUAGUUGGCGGGGUAACGGCCCACCAAGACAACGAUGGAUAGGGGUUCUGAGAGGAAGGUCCCCCACAUUGGAACUGAGACACGGUCCAAACUCCUACGGGAGGCAGCAGUGAGGAAUAUUGGUCAAUGGACGAGAGUCUGAACCAGCCAAGUAGCGUGAAGGAUGACUGCCCUAUGGGUUGUAAACUUCUUUUAUAUGGGAAUAAAAUGUUCCACGUGUGGGAUUUUGUAUGUACCAUAUGAAUAAGGAUCGGCUAACUCCGUGCCAGCAGCCGCGGUAAUACGGAGGAUCCGAGCGUUAUCCGGAUUUAUUGGGUUUAAAGGGAGCGUAGGUGGCCUGCCAAGUCAGCGGUAAAAUUGCGGGGCUCAACCCCGUACAGCCGUUGAAACUGCCGGGCUCGAGUGGGCGAGAAGUAUGCGGAAUGCGUGGUGUAGCGGUGAAAUGCUUAGAUAUCACGAAGAACUCCGAUUGCGAAGGCAGCUCACUGGACUGCAACUGACACUGAGGCUCGAAAGUGUGGGUAUCAAACAGGAUUAGAUACCCUGGUAGUCCACACAGUAAACGAUGAAUACUCGCUGUUUGCGAUAUACGGCAAGCGGCCAAGCGAAAGCAUUAAGUAUUCCACCUGGGGAGUACGCCGGCAACGGUGAAACUCAAAGGAAUUGACGGGGGCCCGCACAAGCGGAGGAACAUGUGGUUUAAUUCGAUGAUACGCGAGGAACCUUACCAGGGCUUAAAUUGCACCUGAAUAAUGUGGAAACAUGUUAGCCGUAAGGCAGGUGUGAAGGUGCUGCAUGGUUGUCGUCAGCUCGUGCCGUGAGGUGUCGGCUUAAGUGCCAUAACGAGCGCAACCCUUAUCUUCAGUUACUAACAGGUCAUGCUGAGGACUCUGGAGAGACUGCCGUCGUAAGAUGUGAGGAAGGUGGGGAUGACGUCAAAUCAGCACGGCCCUUACGUCCGGGGCUACACACGUGUUACAAUGGGAGGUACAGAAGGCCGCUACCUGGCGACAGGAUGCCAAUCCCCAAAACCUCUCUCAGUUCGGAUCGAAGUCUGUAACCCGACUUCGUGAAGCUGGAUUCGCUAGUAAUCGCGCAUCACCCAUGGCGCGGUGAAUACGUUCCCGGGCCUUGUACACACCGCCCGUCAAG
rnacentral:rRNA from 1 species